rnacentral:rRNA from 1 species
UACGUAGGGUGCGAGCGUUAAUCGGAAUUACUGGGCGUAAAGCGUGCGCAGGCGGUCUGUUAAGACCGAUGUGAGAUCCCCGGGCUUAACCUGGGAACUGCAUUGGUGACUGGCAGGCUUUGAGUGUGGCAGAGGGAGGUAGAAUUCCACGUGUAGCAGUGAAAUGCGUAGAGAUGUGGAGGAAUACCGAUGGCGAAGGCAGCCUCCUGGGCCAACACUGACGCUCAUGCACGAAAGCGUGGGGAGCAAACAGG